rnacentral:pre_miRNA from 1 species
CAUUCUAACUUUACAUCACAUGACUAGAAAGUGCACUCACUUCCAUCUCAGUACAGAGCAUCAUUUAGAGAAAUGUGUCCACAGUAAAAAUUCCCUAUGUUACGUAAAUUUGCGUAAGUUCAAUGUGUAUUGUAGAUUUAUUA